UAUGGAAAAAUAUAUUUUAUUAUCUUCCCCAGUGUGUACCACGAUAAGAUUGCAUUGCACUAUAAUCCCUUGACGCUUGAUGGCGAUGUGGAUCUUUUCGAAUGGCGCCAUUGUGGUGAUUCGUUCACCGUCGAAGAAGAAUUUGAGCGCUUUGAUUGGCUGAAAGCAGAAACGCAGGAAGCGUGCAACAGUGCUCAUGCAGUACGCAAGUGUAAUGUUUAUAUUGUGUGACAUGAAGCAGUAAACUUAGUUAUUAUUCUACAAUGUCCGAACUGAAUGAUUAUUUAGAAGGAAAGAUAACUUUCGAGGAGUUUGAAAGGCGGAGAGAGGAAAGAAAAGCAAAGGAUAAGGAGCAGAAGGGAGAUGUGUCAGAAUAUGAUGAAGCUGCUGAUCAGGACGCAGUUCCGUCCACUUCAAAACCAAGUGCUAAAGAAACACGCAGCCGUCAGACAGAGACGGCAGAAGAAGGAGUCAGUCCAUCUGUUCAGAAAGCUUUUGCCUCCAUGAUCGGAGAGGGACUGGAGGAGUGUGUGGAGGAGGAUGAAGAUGAUGAAGAUGGAAAGAUGGAGUGGAGAGACAUCGGAGAGGAGGAUGGAGACGACGACGAUGACGACGAUGAUGAUGAUGA
ensembl:lncRNA